UACAGAGACUGCAAGCGUUAUUCGGAUUCACUGGGCGUAAAGGGUGCGCAGGCGGCCGUGUGUGUGAGGCGUGAAAGCCUCGAGCUUAACUCCAGAAUUGCACCUCAAACUACACGGCUAGAGCAUUGGAGAGGGUAGCAGAAUUCACGGUGUAGCAGUGAAAUGCGUAGAUAUCGUGAGGAAUACCAGAGGCGAAGGCGGCUACCUGGACAAUUGCUGACGCUCAGGCACGAAAGCGUGGGGAGCAAAAGGG
rnacentral:rRNA from 1 species